CUUACUGAGACACGGCCCAGACUCCUACGGGAGGCAGCAGUAGGGAAUCUUCGGCAAUGGGGGCAACCCUGACCGAGCAACGCCGCGUGAGUGAAGAAGGUUUUCGGAUCGUAAAGCUCUGUUGUAAGAGAAGAACGUAUGUGAGAGUGGAAAGUUCACAUAGUGACGGUACCUUACCAGAAAGGGACGGCUAACUACGUGCCAGCAGCCGCGGUAAUACGUAGGUCCCGAGCGUUAUCCGGAUUUAUUGGGCGUAAAGCGAGCGCAGGCGGUUGGAAAAGUCUGAAGUGAAAGGCUGUGGCUUAACCAUAGUAUGCUUUGGAAACUGUUCAACUUGAGUGCAGAAGGGGAGAGUGGAAUUCCAUGUGUAGCGGUGGAAUGCGUAGAUAUAUGGAGGAACACCGGUGGCGAAAGCGGCUCUCUGGUCUGUAACUGACGCUGAGGCUCGAAAGCGUGGGUAGCGAACAGGAUUAGAUACCCUGGUAGUCCACGCCGUAAACGAUGAGUGCUAGGUGUUAGACCCUAUCCGGGGUUUAGUGCCGCAGCUAACGCAUUAAGCACUCCGCCUGGGGAGUACGACCGCAAGGUUGAAACUCAAAGGAAUUGACGGGGGCCCGCACAAGCGGUGGAGCAUGUGGUUUAAUUCGAAGCAACGCGAAGAACCUUACCAGGUCUUGACAUCCUUCUGACAGAUCUAGAGAUAGAUUUUCUCUUCGGAGCAGAAGUGACAGGUGGUGCAUGGUUGUCGUCAGCUCGUGUCGUGAGAUGUUGGGUUAAGUCCCGCAACGAGCGCAACCCUUAUUGUUAGUUGCCAUCAUUAAGUUGGGCACUCUAGCGAGACUGCCGGUAAUAAACCGGAGGAAGGCGGG
rnacentral:rRNA from 1 species